rnacentral:sRNA from 1 species
GUGACUCAAUGCCGGGGAAGGUAAGAACCUUCGACAAGGUUCGCACCGAGCGUAGCGAGAUAAUGACGCGAAGCGGCGGCCCGCAGGGUGAGGAACGAAGUGACGAGUAAUCCUUACCCCACCACCA